GUGGGGAAUAUUGGACAAUGGGGGGAACCCUGAUCCAGCCAUGCCGCGUGUGUGAAGAAGGCCUUUUGGUUGUAAAGCACUUUAAGCGAGGAGGAGGCUACCGAGAUUAAUACUCUUGGAUAGUGGACGUUACUCGCAGAAUAAGCACCGGCUAACUCUGUGCCAGCAGCCGCGGUAAUACAGAGGGUGCAAGCGUUAAUCGGAUUUACUGGGCGUAAAGCGCGAGUAGGUGGCCAAUUAAGUCAAAUGUGAAAUCCCCGAGCUUAACUUGGGAAUUGCAUUCGAUACUGGUUGGCUAGAGUAUGGGAGAGGAUGGUAGAAUUCCAGGUGUAGCGGUGAAAUGCGUAGAGAUCUGGAGGAAUACCGAUGGCGAAGGCAGCCAUCUGGCCUAAUACUGACACUGAGGUGCGAAAGCAUGGGGAGCAAACAGGAUUAGAAACCCGAGUAGUCC
rnacentral:rRNA from 1 species